rnacentral:rRNA from 1 species
CAUUGAAAGUCGAACGCCCCGCAUGGGGAGUGGCAGUACGGGUGAGUAACGCGUGGGAAUCUACCGUGCCCUGCGGAAUAGCUCCGGGAAACUGGAAUUAAUACCGCAUACGCCCUACGGGGGAAAGAUUUAUCGGGGUAUGAUGAGCCCGCGUUGGAUUAGCUAGUUGGUGGGGUAAAGGCCUACCAAGGCGACGAUCCAUAGCUGGUCUGAGAGGAUGAUCAGCCACAUUGGGACUGAGACACGGCCCAGACUCCUACGGGAGGCAGCAGUGGGGAAUAUUGGACAAUGGGCGCAAGCCUGAUCCAGCCAUGCCGCGUGAGUGAUGAAGGCCUUAGGGUUGUAAAGCUCUUUCACCGGAGAAGAUAAUGACGGUAUCCGGAGAAGAAGCCCCGGCUAACUUCGUGCCAGCAGCCGCGGUAAUACGAAGGGGGCUAGCGUUGUUCGGAAUUACUGGGCGUAAAGCGCACGUAGGCGGAUAUUUAAGUCAGGGGUGAAAUCCCAGAGCUCAACUCUGGAACUGCCUUUGAUACUGGGUAUCUUGAGUAUGGAAGAGGUAAGUGGAAUUCCGAGUGUAGAGGUGAAAUUCGUAGAUAUUCGGAGGAACACCAGUGGCGAAGGCGGCUUACUGGUCCAUUACUGACGCUGAGGUGCGAAAGCGUGGGGAGCAGACAGGAUUAGAUACCCCUGGUAGUCCACGCCGUAGACGAUGAAUGUUAGCCGUCGGGCAGUAUACUGUUCGGUGGCGCAGCUAACGCAUUAAACAUUCCGCCUGGCGAGUACGGUCGCACGAUUAAAACUCAAAGGAAUUGACGGGGGCCGGCACAAGCGGUGGAGCAUGUGGUUUAUUUCAAAG